GAUGAACGCUGGCGGCGUGCCUAAUACAUGCCAGUCGAGCGAACAGACGAGGAGCUUGCUCCUCUGACGUUAGCGGCGGACGGGUGAGUAACACGUGGAUAACCUACCUAUAAGACUGGGAUAACUUCGGGAAACCGGAGCUAAUACCGGAGAAUAUAUUGAACCGCAUGGUUCAAUAGUGAAAGACGGUUUUGCUGUCACUUAUAGAUUGAUCCGCGCCGCAUUAGCUAGUUGGUAAGGUAACGGCUUACCAAGGCAACGAUGCAUAGCCGACCUGAGAGGGUGACCGGCCACACUGGAACUGAGACACGGUCCAGACUCCUACGGGAGGCAGCAGUAGGGAAUCUUCCGCAAUGGGCGAAAGCCUGACGGAGCAACGCCGCGUGAGUGAUGAAGGUCUUCGGAUCGUAAAACUCUGUUAUUAGGGAAGAACAAAUGUGUAAGUAACUAGGCACGUCUUGACGGUACCUAAUCAGAAAGCCACGGCUAACUACGUG
rnacentral:rRNA from 1 species